GCCCCUAUAGCUCAGCGGUAGAGCGCUGCACUUGUAAUGCAUAACGCAGAGACAAGUUCAUGCAGAGGUCCUUCGUUCAAUCCGGGGUGGGGGCA
rnacentral:tRNA from 1 species